CACUCAAAGACACUGAACUCUCAGCUUGAGACAGAAGCACAUUUGUGCAGGGGAAUCUGUGCCUCAUGCAGCUCUCCAGUCUGCCCUGGGUGCUCCUGGCCUUCACCUUCUCUGGAUCUGGUGUGGCCCAGAAAGUUACUCAAGACCAGUCAGAUGUAUCCAGCCAGUUGGGACAGUCAGUCACCCUGAAUUGUCGGUAUGAAACAAGCUGGAGCACUUACUACCUUUAUUGGUACAAGCAACUUCCCAGUGGACAGAUGACUUACGUUAUUCAUCAGGGUUCACAAGUGACAAACGCAAGGAAAGACCGCUACUCUGUAAACUUUAAGAAAGCAGAUAAAUCCAUCAGCCUCACCAUUUCCGCCUUACAACUGGAAGACUCUGCAAAGUACUUCUGUGCUCUCUCUGUCGCACAGUGCUUGAAGUGA